AGUCGAGCGAACAGAUAAGGAGCUUGCUCCUUUGACGUUAGCGGCGGACGGGUGAGUAACACGUGGGUAACCUACCUAUAAGACUGGGACAACUUCGGGAAACCGGAGCUAAUACCGGAUAAUAUGUUGAACCGCAUGGUUCAAUAGUGAAAGAUGGUUUUGCUAUCACUUAUAGAUGGACCCGCGCCGUAUUAGCUAGUUGGUGAGGUAACGGCUCACCAAGGCAACGAUACGUAGCCGACCUGAGAGGGUGAUCGGCCACACUGGAACUGAGACACGGUCCAGACUCCUACGGGAGGCAGCAGUAGGGAAUCUUCCGCAAUGGGCGAAAGCCUGACGGAGCAACGCCGCGUGAGUGAUGAAGGUCUUAGGAUCGUAAAACUCUGUUAUUAGGGAAGAACAAACGUGUAAGUAACUGUGCACGUCUUGACGGUACCUAAUCAGAAAGCCACGGCUAACUACGUGCCAGCAGCCGCGGUAAUACGUAGGUGGCAAGCGUUAUCCGGAAUUAUUGGGCGUAAAGCGCGCGUAGGCGGUUUUUUAAGUCUGAUGUGAAAGCCCACGGCUCAACCGUGGAGGGUCAUUGGAAACUGGAAAACUUGAGUGCAGAAGAGGAAAGUGGAAUUCCAUGUGUAGCGGUGAAAUGCGCAGAGAUAUGGAGGAACACCAGUGGCGAAGGCGACUUUCUGGUCUGUAACUGACGCUGAUGUGCGAAAGCGUGGGGAUCAAACAGGAUUAGAUACCCUGGUAGUCCACGCCGUAAACGAUGAGUGCUAAGUGUUAGGGGGUUUCCGCCCCUUAGUGCUGCAGCUACGCAUUAACACUC
rnacentral:rRNA from 1 species